GUCGCGCAGGACGUCGCUGAGGCGCUCCAGCGCCGCUGCCGCUCCGGCCCCGGGCCGGCCCGCCGCGCCGUAGAGCAGCGUCCGGGCCCGCAGCAGCAGCGGCAGGACGCAGUCCUCCACCUCGCCGCUCAGCGCCAAGAUUUCAGCCUUUGAAUUAAGCAGCAGUUCACUCUCAGUGCUACAGGCGAUAAAAGGGAAUAUUCCAGUCCCCGUGUCCAUCACGGCUGCUCUGCCAAGCAGAGUUAACAGCCAGGUUUGCCCUGAAGACAGGGGGUCCUGAGCAAUAACUUUCCCCUGCCAGCCUUGCCUGGGUGCCUUCUCCUGUCUCUCUGCUCCCUCCUGCAGUGAAGGGGCAGCAGUGGUGGGGGUAGAGGGGCUGCUGAGAGCCCAGCCAGAUGUGGGGGGAUCCGUGCAGCAGCCGAGCUGCUCGUGAGCGCAGUGGCAGCACAGCGGGUUGGCUUUGGAGUCAAUACCUGAAUCUGACUUUUUGUAUCGGGGUAAAAAUAAAGA